CGCGCAAAUUACCCAAUUCUAACAGUUUGAGAGAGGUAGUAACAAGAAAUAACARUACAAGGCARUUAAAAUGCUUUGUAAUUGGAAUGAUAGAAAUUUAAACCCUUUUUAAAGUAUCAAUUGGAGGGCAAGUCUGGUGCCAGCAGCCGCGGUAAUUCCAGCUCCAAUAGCGUAUAUUAARAUUGUUGCAGUUAAAAAGCUCGUAGUUGAAGUUCUGCUGAAAGUAACCGGUCUG
rnacentral:rRNA from 1 species